rnacentral:rRNA from 1 species
AAUGAACGCUGGCGGCAGGCCUAACACAUGCAAGUCGAACGGAUCCUUCGGGAUUAGUGGCGGACGGGUGAGUAACGCGUGGGAACAUACCCAAAGGUACGGAAUAGCCUCGGGAAACUGGGAGUAAUACCGUAUGUGCUCGAAAGAGGAAAGAUUUGUCGCCUGAGGAUUGGCCCGCGUUGGAUUAGGUAGUUGGUGGGGUAAUGGCCUACCAAGCCGACGAUCCAUAGCUGGUUUGGGAGGAUGAUCAGCCACACUGGGACUGAGACACGGCCCAGACUCCUACGGGAGGCAGCAGUGGGGAAUCUUAGACAAUGGGGGAAACCCUGAUCUAGCCAUGCCGCGUGAUCGAUGAAGGCCUUAGGGUUGUAAAGAUCUUUCAGGUGGGAAGAUAAUGACUGUACCACCAGAAGAAGCCCCGGCUAACUCCGUGCCAGCAGCCGCGGUAA